AGAAUCAACGCUGGCGGCGUGCCUAACACAUGCAAGUCGCACGAGAAAGGGGAGCAAUCCCUGAGUACAGUGGCGCACGGGUGAGUAACACGUGAAUAAUCUACCUCCGAGUGGGGAAUAACUGAGAGAAAUCUUAGCUAAUACCGCAUAAUACCCACGGGUCAAAGCAGCAAUGCGCUUGGAGAGGAGUUCGCGGCAGAUUAGUUAGUUGGCGGGGUAAUGGCCCACCAAGACGAUGAUCUGUAUCCGGCCUGAGAGGGCGCACGGACACACUGGAACUGAAACACGGUCCAGACUCCUACGGGAGGCAGCAGUGGGGAAUUUUGCGCAAUGGGGGAAACCCUGACGCAGCAACGCCGCGUGGAGGAUGAAGCCCCUUGAGGUGUAAACUCCUUUCGAUCGGGAAGAUAAUGACGGUACCGAUAUAAGAACGCCCGGCUAACUUCGUGCCAGCAGCCGC
rnacentral:rRNA from 1 species